UUAAGUGAAAAUGCUUAAAUGACUAAUUAGACGAUAAGACCCUAUAGAGCUUUAUAUAUGUAUGCUGUUAAGUAUUAAAAUUUUUAUUAGUUAAUAACCAGGUUGUAUAUUUUAUUGGGGCAAUAAAAGAAUAAAAUUAACUUCUUAUUAAUAAAUUUUAUUUAAUUAAUUAACUUUUAGUAUAAAAUUUAAUAGAAGUUACCUUAGGGAUAACAGCGUUAUUAAAGUUGAGAGUUCUUAUCGACACUUUAGAUUGCGACCUCGAUGUUGAAUUAAAAAUUCUUUGAGGGGCAGCAUUUUUAUUAGAUGGUCUGUUCGACCAUUAAAUUUUUACAUGAUUUGAGUUCAAACCGGUGUGAGCCAGGUUGGUUUCUAUCUUUUAGUUU
rnacentral:ncRNA from 1 species